rnacentral:rRNA from 1 species
UACGUAGGGCGCAAGCGUUGUCCGGAAUUAUUGGGCGUAAAGAGCUCGUAGGCGGCUUGUCACGUCGGGUGUGAAAGCCCGGGGCUUAACCCCGGGUCUGCAUUCGAUACGGGCUGGCUGGAGUGUGGUAGGGGAGAUCGGAAUUCCCGGUGUAGUGGUGAAAUGCGUAGAGAUCGGGAGGAACACCAGUGGCGAAGGCGGCCCUCUGGGCCGGGCCUGACGCUGAGACGCGAGGGCGUGGGGAGCGAACGGG